GUGCUAAUCUGCGAUAAGCGCCGGUAAGGUGAUAUGAACCGUUAUAACCGGCGAUACCCGAAUGGGGAAACCCAGUGUGAUUCGUCACACUAUCAUUAACUGAAUCCAUAGGUUAAUGAGGCGAACCGGGGGAACUGAAACAUCUAAGUACCCCGAGGAAAAGAAAUCAACCGAGAUUCCCCCAGUAGCGGCGAGCGAACGGGGAGGAGCCCAGAGCCUGAAUCAGCAUGUGUGUUAGUGGAAGCGUCUGGAAAGGCGCGCGAUACAGGGUGACAGCCCCGUACACAAAAGCGCAUGUGCUGUGAGCUCGAUGAGUAGGGCGGGACACGUGGUAUCCUGUCUGAAUAUGGGGGGACCAUCCUCCAAGGCUAAAUACUCCUGACUGACCGAUAGUGAACCAGUACCGUGAGGGAAAGGCGAAAAGAACCCCGGCGAGGGGAGUGAAAAAGAACCUGAAACCGUGUACGUACAAGCAGUGGGAGCACCCUUUGGGUGUGACUGCGUACCUUUUGUAUAAUGGGUCAGCGACUUAUAUUCUGUAGCAAGGUUAACCGAAUAGGGGAGCCGGAGGGAAACCGAGUCUUAAUUGGGCGUUAAGUUGCAGGGUAUAG
rnacentral:rRNA from 1 species